rnacentral:rRNA from 1 species
GGUCAAGCGACUAAGCGCAUACGGUGGAUGCCUUGGCGGUCAGAGGCGAUGAAGGACGUGGCAGCCUGCGAAAAGCUCCGGGGAGCUGGCAACAAGCAUUGAUCCGGAGAUGUCCGAAUGGGGAAACCCACCGCGCAAGCGGUAUCCCGUACUGAAUCCAUAGGGACGGGAAGCGAACCGGGAGAACUGAAAUAUCUCAGUACCCCGAGGAAAAGAAAUCAACCGAGAUUCCCCCAGUAGCGACGAGCGAACGGGGAACAGCCCAAAAGUCGCACGCGUUUUAGCGGAACGGCCUGGAAAGGCCGGCCCUAGACGGUGAUAGCCCGGUACGCGAAAGGGCGCGCGCGAUGAAUUGAGUAGGGCGGGGCACGUGAAACCCUGUCUGAACAUGGGGGGACCAUCCUCCAAGGCUAAAUACUCCUGACCGACCGAUAGCGAACCAGUACCGUGAGGGAAAGGCGAAAAGAACCCCGGAGAGGGGAGUGAAAUAGACCCUGAAACCGUAUGCGUACAAGCAGUGGAAGCUCCGCAAGGAGUGACUGCGUACCUUUUGUAUAAUGGGUCAGCGACUUACUGUCUGUGGCAAGCUUAACCAUCUAGGGGAGGCGAAGGGAAACCGAGUCUGAAUAGGGCG